GAGGAACCUUGUGAAGGACAGGUGGCACUCCUGGCUCACACCAGAGACAGGGCUGAAGCCACUGCAGGAUGAGGUCCCUUCCUACUUUGCUGAAGGUAAUGAAGCCAUUGCUGGACAUGUUGGUUGACACCAUUGAGAGCAGGUUCCCCAGCAUUGGGCAGCCUUAGCCACUUUGCAGCCUUCACACCAAGCACAGUGGCCAGCAAUUCAGACUCGGUACGGUGUGGAGGACAUCAAUGCUCUUGCCAAAGUGUUUCCCAGGCUGAGCCAAUCAGACAUGCUGUCUGAGUGGGACACUUUCAUAGAGAGGGUUAAGAGGCCAGACCUGAUGUCUAAAACAAUGGAGGAGACUCUCCUGUGGCUUGUGUGCCCUGAAAGUGCAGAGCUGUACCCAGCACUCAGCCUGGCUGCUGCCAUUGCUCUCACUGCCCCAGUCCACACAGCUGAUGUGGAGGGGCUUUUCUCUGGCCUAAAGCUUGUCAAGACAGCCCUAGGCAACAGGCUCAAGGAUGACCAUCUUGACAUCUGCUGCCGUGUUUCGCUUGAUGGACCUCAUCAAGACAGCCUGAAUUACACAGACCUGGUGAAGCACUUUUACGGGGCAGGCAAAAAGAGGACAGUGAAAUGCUCUACAGUUGGCUGUCAAAUAUGUACAUAA